GGGAGAAAUGACCCAAAACACCGCCCCGAAAAUGGGAGAGAAACCAACCCCAAAACCGGGGAGAAACAACCCAAAACACCGCCCCGAAAAUGGGAGAGAAACCAACCCCAAAACCGAGGAGAAAUGACCCAAAACACCGCCCCGAAAAUGGGAGAGAAAUACCCCAAAAUUGGGAGAGAAACCACCCCAAAACCACCCCAAAAUUGGGAGAGAAACCACCCCAAAACCGGGGAGAAAUAACCCAAAACACCGCCCCGAAAAUGGGAGAGAAACAGCCCAAAAUAUCCCCAAAAUAUGGCAGAGAAAUGCCCCAAAAUUGGGAGAGAAAUGCCCCAAAAUUGGGAGAGAAAUGCCCCAAAAUUGGGAGAGAAACCACCCCCAAAACCGGGGAGAAAUAACCCAAAACACCGCCCCGAAAAUGGCAGAGAAAUACCCCAAAACCACCCCCAAAACCGGAGAGAAAUGACCCAAAACACCGCCCCGAAAAUGGGAGAGAAACGGCCCGAAAUGUCCCCAAAUUAUGGCAGAGAAAUGCCCCAAAAUUGGGAGAGAAACCACCCAGAAAUGGCAGAGAAAUAACCCAAAACACCGCCCCAAAAAUGGGAGAGAAACGGCCCGAAAUGUCCCCAAAAUAUGGCAGAGAAAUGCCCCAAAAAUGGCACCAAACUACCCCAAAACUUCCCCCCAAAAAUGGCAGAAAAACACCCCAAAACCACCCCAAAAAUGGGAGAGAAACCACCCCAAAACCACCCCAAAAUUGGGAGAGAAACCACCCAGAAAUGGCAGAGAAAUAACCUAAAAUAUCCCUCCCAAAUAUCACAGAGAAACACCCCAAAAUACACCAAAAAUGGGAGAGAAACGGCCCGAAAUGUCCCCAAAAUAUGGCAGAGAAAUACCCCAAAAAUCCGAGAGAAACCACCCCAAAACCGGAGAGAAAUAACCCAAAACACCGCCCCGAAAAUGGGAGAGAAACAGCCCGAAAUGUCCCCAAAAUACGGCAGAGAAAUACCCCAAAACUGGGAGAGAAAUACCCCAAAAUUGGGAGAGAAACCACCCCAAAACCACCCCAAAAUUGGGAGAGAAACCACCCAGAAAUGGCAGAGAAAUAACCCAAAACACCGCCCCGAAAAUGGCAGAGAAAUACCCCAAAACCACCCCCAAAACCGGGGAGAAAUAACCCAAAACACCACCCCAAAAAUGGGAGAGAAACGGCCCGAAAUGUCCCCAAAAUACGGCAGAGAAGUACCCCAAAACUGGGAGAGAAAUGCCCCAAAAUUGGGAGAGAAACCACCCCAAAACCACCCCAAAAUUGGGAGAGAAACCACCCCCAAAACCGGGGGGAAAUAACCCAAAACACCGCCCUUAAAAUAGGAGAGAAACAGCCCAAAAUAUGCCCAAAAUACGGCAGAGAAAUGCCCCAAAAUAUGGCAGAGAAAUGCCCCAAAAUUGGGAGAGAAAUGCCCCAAAAUUGGGAGAGAAACCACCCCAAAACCACCCCAAAAUUGGGAGAGAAACCACCCAGAAAUGGCAGAGAAAUAACCCAAAAAUGCCAGAGAAAUAACCUAAAAUAUCCCCCACAUAUAUCACAGAGAAACACCCCAAAAUACACCAAAAAUGGGAGAGAAACGGCCCGAAAUGUCCCCAAAAUAUGGCAGAGAAAUGCCCCAAAAUUGGGAGAGAUACCACCCAGAAAUGGCAGAGAAAUAACCCAAAACACCGCCCCAAAAAUGGGAGAGAAACGGCCCGAAAUGUCCCCAAAAAUGGCAGCGAAAUACCCCAAAAAUGGCAUCAAACUGCCCCAAAACUUCCCCCCAAAAAU
ensembl:lncRNA